CAAGAGUAGAUCUACAUUCUGGGCAUUUCUACUAUGUUAUUGUUGUAGGAAGCAGUGUUAGCAUGGGUCACACCCUUCUUUCAUACUCGUUAACAAACGAAGGCUCUUUCUGGCCUUGAUUUACACCAAAAGUUUCUGCUUUGGUCUCUCUGUUGUUGGAAUACGAAGACUGAAAGGGAAGGUUUUCCCCUUUGUAGAGUGGACAAUCUGCUCUGCUGAAACAGCACUCCUCAUCCACUGAGAGUCUUGGCUUCACAACCAUUAAGCUCUGGUGCUGUCAGUGAUGAUACUUCUUGUUCAAGAUUCUCCUGAUGGCACAGUUUGCUGAUGGUGCAGACUUACUCCUAGGAGCCUCUCUGCUAAGGCUUCUUCAGAUCCACAUCCUCUCAUUGUCUCCCUCAGUUUCCCAGCUUUGAGAUGACUCAGGGCAGGUGUUUCUGCUGGCUGUACACUCUUCCAGGGGAGGAGGAAGCCCUAGGAGAGAGCUCAGGCUCCCACCUCCAAGCUCCCUGCAAAGGGAAGUCUGGAGUUUUCUGGGGAGGGUGGAAGUGGCAGCUGAAUGGGCUCUGUGCAUGGCACAUCUACAGAGACACUUUCACUUGGUGUUCUUCCCUGCACCGAUACAAAUAAUCUUCCAUGCCACAGAGCUACAAACCUUUCCAUAGCAAAGGAGGGGCCUGUAACGACUGCACAAGGCUUUCAGUUCUGCAUGUAAUACAUCAGCUGAAAGAAUCACGUUUCUAGUGAACUUUUUUUUUUUUUUUCCCCUGCAUGCCUUAAAAUAAAACAUGAGAUAAGCAUCACUUUUCCUGUGACUUCACUUUACACUCCUGUGGAAGAAACCAGAAGGAUGUUUCCUCAAGCAGAAGCUUUGAAAAGAUUUUGUGUGUUACCAAGGGCACAGAUGCAGUGAAACAGGACAUGAGUGGAAGGAACAACAAGCAAAACUGUCUAAGGAGCUCUGUCUCCUUUGCAACGUUAACAAUGACUGAAUAGUAAAUUGCUUUUUAAUAAGUUUUGUAUUCUCCUGGGAUAUGGUUAAAGGGUUAAUUUAACGCUUGACCCAUUAAAACCGUUGAGUGCAGUGAGAACCUUGUAAGGCUGAUCAGAUGAUUAUUUCUGGAAGAUAAGUGGUUGAAAACUGAGCCUCACUAGUUCAGGUAAUCAAGGGAAAUCGGCAUAAAAGAGAAGAUGCGGCUGAGUAAAGACAGAACGGCUACCUGAGAUUCUAUUACUUGUCGUCUUUCAAGCAUAAUGAUGAGAUUAUAGUAACCCUAAACUGGCUGAAAACAGAAAUCUGGCUGUCUGUCAAUGUUCCUGCAAGUGAGAAUACCUUAUGCCAGACCUUGGCCAGCAACUCAGCAUUGCCAGAGAGGCAGAGUUGGCCUCAGCAGCUAGGUAAUAUUUUUCUCACUUAAAACAAUCUUUCUGUGCUGUGCUGCUGAUCUGGCUUCUGUAUCCCUGUUCCCAGGAUGGGUCAGGUUAGGGGGCCAAGGAAAAUUAGAUUUUAUGGUUACCAUACAACAUAAUCACUGGAUGUUAGUGCCUGUACAGAACAGCUCCUCCUGCUCAUUACUGCUCCUGCUUUGCUCCAGGAAGGAAAAACAACUCUGGUCUUGUGUGAUGAGACCCAGUGUGACUGACUCAUAUGAAUUCUGAGUCUGGUCCAUGGCACUUUGGGAAUAUGAACAGAGCACCUUGGAAGCACACAGAGAAGCUCUCAACUCAAAAAUAUGUCAGGAAGUAUGUGAUUAAUCACCCAUUGAAAGUUACAGGGAAACAAAGCUCUCCAGGCAGUCAUUAGAUGCACCUGCAAUCCUUGUUCUGCUUGUUUUAUCAUGAACUCCAGCACUUGUUUCUUUCAAUUUCUGGGUGUGGUGUGUCCUUUUAACUCCAAAUCUCUUAUUUUCUCUGCCAUAUAUUUCAGGUUCUCUGCGACAGUUCCUGUAAAUAUCAGCAUGGCUCCAUAUGUAAUUUCUCUUCACUCAUAGCUGUUGUUAACAGAACAUUAGACAGAAAAACAUAUACCCCAGGCCCUCCACCCCGAUCUCUCCUGAUGUUGGAGGUAUAUUACGACUUUUAUUUCUAUUUGGUACUUUAGGGGAAGGUUAUGUUUAUAAUUUUGAUAAUGUAUGUGUUUAUGUUUGAAGUGUUUUUUCUGUCUCAAAGUAGGAAGGCAAAUAACCAUCAGUCAUCAGUUAUUAAAUAAAAUUGUAGCUAGUAAACAGCCAACUUUAGCCAUUUUUAAGUCCAGCUAUUCAGUUAGUAUGGCAUCCCCAACUAGAAGAUAUUUACCUUUAAAAAAAAAUACAGAAAGAAAGAAUGAAUGGGAAGGGGAGAGGUGGACAGAAUGAUGGAAGAGUCAUGGCUCCUGCCAAGCUAUUAUUCUUUUCAUAACACAAUCUGAGCCAUAAUCUUGUAUGCUCAAAAACAAUGUAAAAGGAUCUGUUGUUUCCUCCCCUUAUUUACAUUGUAAGAGUGUGUUGUGAUCCCCAAGUGCUGUAGAAAAAAAAUGCAGUAGCGCAUGCUUCUAAUUUGACCCCUUUCUUUAUGAAAAAUCAUGUUACUGUAAAUAAUGACUCUGGCUAAUAAACCUCAAAAGCACUUCCUCAUUAUGGUUGUGAAAAAUAUCAAUCUGUGUUGGCUGUGAUUUGCUCUCACUUGAUGGUUCAUGACUCUCCUAAAGCUUCCUCUUGUCAACGAGCGUAGUUGGCUGUCUGACCCAAGACUUUUAGAACUCCUAGAAGAACGUCGUUCUUUUUACUGAAAAAAUUCACAGAAUCACAGACUGGUUGAUGUUAGAAGUUAUCUCUGGAGGCCAUCUGGCUGAACCCCAACUCCAGCAGGGCCACCCAGAGCAGAGUGCCCAGACCCUUGUCCAGGCAGCUUUUUGAGGUCUCUAAGGAGGAGACCCCACAGCCUCUGGGCAGCAUGUGCCAGUGCUCCAUCACCUCUACAGUGCAGAAGUGCUCCUGGUGUGCAGGCAGUUUGUACCCAUUACCUCUAGUCCUCACACCAGGUACUGCUGAAGAAAGUCUGGCUCUGCAUUCUUUGCACUCUCCAUAUCUACAAUACCAAUUGUACUAAUGUACUAAUAAGAUUUUCCUGAGCCUUCUCUUUUCUAAGCUAAAUAGUUCCAUCUCUCUUAGCAGUUGCUCUAUGUGAAGUGCUCCAGUGCUUCAUGAUCUUUUAUUGAACUGUCUCCAGUAUCUCUCUCUCUCACACUGGGUAGCCUAAAAACUGACACAGUACUCUGGCUGUGGUCACAUCAAUGUUGAGUAGAGGGAGAACAACCCCUCCUUUGACCUGCUGACAACACUCUUCUUCAUGCAGCCCAGAGCACUGUUAGCCCUCUUAGCAGCUAGAGCACAUUGUUGGCUCGUAUUCAACAUGGUGUCCACCAGAUCACCAGGUCCUUUUCUGCAAUGCUGCCAUCCAGCUGAGUGGCCUGGAAUUAUUCUUCCCCAGGUGCCAAACUCCACACUUACUGUUGAAAUUCAUGAGGUUCCUGUCACUCCAUUUCUCCAACUUGUCAAGAUCCCUCUGGCUGGUAGCAGAGCCCUCUGUCAUACCAGCCACUACUUCCAGUUUUCUGUCAUUUGCAAAGAAUGGUUUCCAGGAUGAGCUGUUUCAUCACCUUCCAUGGAAUCAAGGUGAGUCUGUCUGCCCUGUAGUUCCUGGGGUCUUCCUUCUUGAAGAUAGGAGUGACAUUUGCUUUCCUUCAGUAUUUGGGCAUUUAUCCCAACCACCAUGAUUGAUAAAGAAUUAUUGCGAGUGCUCUCACAAUCACAUUUGUGAACUCCCCCAGCACUCAUGGGUACUCUACAUCAGAGUACUUGAUCUGACACAUGCUCAAUUUGUUUAAGUAUUUCCUGAAUUGAUCCUCUUCCACCAAGCGUGUGUUCUCCUUGCCACAGCCUUUCAACCUGGUCUCUGGGAUGUGUCAUUCCUGAAGGUCAGUCUUGUUGAUGAAGACUGAGGAAAAGGUGAUAUUCAGUCUCAUAGUAUCUGUCCAUUAUGUUUAAUGCUAUUUUUUUCUAGCUGAAAAUAAAUACUACCAUAAUAAGUUAUAAAAACCCAUCAUUGAAGAAGAAAACUCAUACAUUCUCUUAUGGGUACACAGAGGGCAAGUUCUUAUUGUGUUGCACUGCAAUUGCAGGCACUCAGCAUUGAAAAAAAAAAGAAGCAAAUCCAACUGGUUAGGUGCUGUUUGAGAUCCUUUUGAAUUCAGUGGAGGGAAGAGAUCUGACCUCCAGACUGGAUGCUGCAAAGGAAGCUGCCCAGACCUGCCGUAAAAACAGAGAGAUGGCUGCACUCCUCUAUAUAGAUGCAGACAGGAGUCCAGCUCUGCACUAUGCAAUAACCGUUUAGUACUGCUCAUUUCAACGGUGUUCAGUCAAUUUUGGAGGAGUGGUAUCCAAGAGACAACAAGGAGGCCUCCCUUGUCUUCC
ensembl:lncRNA